ensembl:snRNA U1 U1 spliceosomal RNA
AUAUUUACUUGGCAGGGGACACACCAUGAUCACUAAGGUGGUUUUCCCAGGUCAAGGCUUGUCCAUUGCGUUCUGGAUGUGCUAACCCUCGUGAUUUCCCCAAAUGUGGGAACUUGACUGUGCAAUUUGUGGUAGGGGGGACUGAGCUUGUUAGGGUCCGUG